UAUAAUAAUCAUUUAAUCAUCGACCCGGCAAGCCAAAUGAGAUCAUAACUUCGUGGCCUAUGCAAGGGGUGUAACCAGCCCACUUUAUGCGUACCUUUCCUUCAUUGGACACUAAACUCUGCUUGCGAAGACCUGUUGAUGCAAGUGAAAUCGAAAUCAAAUUAGACGACUGGCAUCCGUG